rnacentral:ncRNA from 1 species
CUUCUCAGGGUGAGGUGGAAUUCCCUACCGGUGGUGAUUUAAUAUAAUAAGUCCACGAGCACAAGUAAGUGUUGAUUUGGUGAGAAUCCAAAACCGACGGUGACAGUCCGGAUGGAAGAGAAU